GACUCUUGACGUCUAAUGAGCCUUAACUCUUGGUCCCCAAUGUGUCUUGCAGCCACCAACCGCUAAAAUGCACGCCAUCAUCGAGCGCACGGCCAGCUUCGUGUGCAGGCAGGGAGCACAGUUUGAGAUCAUGCUGAAGGCCAAGCAGGCCCGGAACUCCCAGUUCGACUUUCUGCGCUUUGACCACUACCUCAACCCCUACUAUAAGUUCAUCCAGAAAGCCAUGAAAGAGGGACGCUACACUGUCCUGGCAGAAAACAAAAGUGACGAGAAAAAAAAAUCAGGAGUCAGCUCUGACAAUGAAGAUGAUGAUGAUGAAGAAGAUGGGAAUUACCUUCAUCCCUCUCUCUUUGCCUCCAAGAAGUGUAACCGC
rnacentral:sRNA from 1 species